AGUGAACGCUGGCGGUAGGCCUAACACAUGCAAGUCGAACGGCAGCACAGUAAGAGCUUGCUCUUACGGGUGGCGAGUGGCGGACGGGUGAGGAAUACAUCGGAAUCUACUUUUUCGUGGGGGAUAACGUAGGGAAACUUACGCUAAUACCGCAUACGACCUACGGGUGAAAGCAGGGGAUCUUCGGACCUUGCGCGAUUGAAUGAGCCGAUGUCGGAUUAGCUAGUUGGCGGGGUAAAGGCCCACCAAGGCGACGAUCCGUAGCUGGUCUGAGAGGAUGAUUCCCCCACCCUGACACUGGCCCCCGGCCCACCCUCCUCCGGGGGCACCCGGGGGGAAUAUUGGAACAAGGGGCGCAACCCUAAACCGCCCAUACCGGGGGGGUGAAAAAGCCCUUGGGUUUUUAAACCCCUUUUUUGGGAAAAAAAAACCCGCGGGUUAAACCCCCGCUUUUCUGACGGUACCAAAAGAAUAAGCACCGGCUACCUUCGG
rnacentral:rRNA from 1 species